rnacentral:rRNA from 1 species
UACGGGGGGUGCGAGCGUUGUCCGGAAUCACUGGGCGUAAAGGGCGCGUAGGUGGUUUGAUAAGGGUGUGGUGAAAGUCCGGGGCUCAACCCCGGAUCUGCCGUGCCGACUGUCAAACUCGAGGGCUGUAGAGGCAGACGGAAUUCCGGGUGGUAGCGGUGGAAUGCGUAGAGAUCCGGAGGAAGACCGGUGGCGAAGGCGGUCUGCUGGGCAGUUUCUGACACUGAGGCGCGACAGCGUGGGGAGCAAACAGGG